UAAACACACGUGUCAUAACAUAAACCAUAACGCUAAAAGAGUAAUGUAAAUCAGUUUAAAUGAGUUAGCUGGUGUUAGCAAACAAGUUUGAGCUACAAUAUUCGAGCUUCACGUAAAUGACUAUAGCUUUCAACUGCUUUAUCACUCUUAAAAUGGGGAAAAAGUCCUCAGUUAACUUGAAUGUUACUCAAUUUUCUUUUUUGAUGAUACCCAACAUUGUAGCACCUAGAAGAUGACCACAAUAGCAUACUCGGAUGAAUUAGAAUGUUGACUGAAAUAUUAAGAAGGGUCCACUAUUCUAUGUAAUAGCUAAGCUUAAGCUGGAUUUUCCUAUGUAAUAUUAAGCAAUAAUCCCCAAUUCGGCAAUUUGACAAAGCAAUUUAAGAAAUAAAAUUUGCAGUAACAUACUAACAUGCACAAGUACCAACGAGAAGCGAAAUUGCCAGGAGGUUUCCUACACUAUACUCGAACAGAAAGGUAUCAAAAGGCAACAGAUUCCCCGUGAUCGUAAAAUUAUUGGAGCCAUUAUAGACUUCUGUCUUCCACGAAAAGUACACUUCUAAAACACAGA
rnacentral:misc_RNA from 1 species